rnacentral:rRNA from 1 species
AUUGAACGCUGGCGGCAGGCCUAACACAUGCAAGUCGAACGAGUGGCGGACGGGUGAGUAAUGUCUGGGAAACUGCUCGAUGGAGGGGGAUAACUACUGGAAACGGUAGCUAAUACCGCAUACCAUCGGAUGUGCCCAGAUGGGAUUAGCUUGUAGGUUAGGUAACGGCUCACCUAGGCGACGCUCCCUAGCUGGUCUGAGAGGAGGACCAGACACACUGGAACUGAGACACGGUCCAGACGCAUACGGGAGGCAGCAGUGGGGAAGAUUGAACAAUGGGCGCAAGCCUUAGGCAGCAAGGCCGCGUGUAUGAAGAAGGCCUUCGGGUUGUAAAGUACUGUCAGCGGGGAGGCGUGCCCCGCAGAAGAAGCACCGGCUAACUCCGUGCCAGCAGCCGCGGUAAUUC